GAUGAAGAACGUAGCGAAAUGCGAUAAGUAAUGUGAAUUGCAGAAUUCAGUGAAUCAUCGAAUCUUUGAACGCACAUUGCGCCCGCCAGUAUUCUGGCGGGCAUGCCUGUUCGAGCGUCAUUACAACCCGCAGGCCCCCGGGCCUGGCGUUGGGGAUCGGCAGAAGCCCCCUGUGGGCACACGCCGUCCCUCAAAUACAGUGGCGGUCCCGCCGCAGCUUCCAUUGCGUAGUAGCUAAGACCUCGCAACUGGAGAGCGGCGCGGCCAUGCCGUAAAACACCCAACUUCUGAAUGUUGACCUCGAAUCAGGUAGGAAUACCCGCUGAACUUAAGCAUAUCAAUAAGCGGAGGA
rnacentral:misc_RNA from 1 species